AAACGAUUGAGGUCAGUCGUGUCUGUAGGAUUCAGCCGUCUCUGGCGGUGUAUUUCCUGCAGACGGGUCAACAUCAGUUCUGACCGGUGGAUAAUGGCAGGAGGAAUGUGGCACCCUCGGGUGUGUUAUAGCCUCUUGUCGCAUACAUCGGUUGGGACUGAGGACUGCAGCUCGCCUUUAUGGCCGGGGUUCGCCCACGUUCGAGCUUAGGAUGUUGACAAAAUGGCCUUAAACGA
rnacentral:rRNA from 1 species